rnacentral:rRNA from 1 species
GAUUAAGUUAUUAAGGGCGCACGGUGGAUGCCUUGGCACUAGAAGCCGAUGAAGGACGUUACUAACGACGAUAUGCUUUGGGGAGCUGUAAGUAAGCUUUGAUCCAGAGAUUUCCGAAUGGGGAAACCCAGCAUGAGUUAUGUCAUGUUAUCGAUAUGUGAAUACAUAGCAUAUCAGAAGGCACACCCGGAGAACUGAAACAUCUUAGUACCCGGAGGAAGAGAAAGAAAAUUCGAUUCCCUUAGUAGCGGCGAGCGAAACGGGAAGAGCCCAAACCAACAAGCUUGCUUGUUGGGGUUGUAGGACACUCUAUACGGAGUUACAAAGGACGACAUUAGACGAAUCAUCUGGAAAGAUGAAUCAAAGAAGGUAAUAAUCCUGUAGUCGAAAAUGUUGUCUCUCUUGAGUGGAUCCUGAGUACGACGGAGCACGUGAAAUUCCGUCGGAAUCUGGGAGGACCAUCUCCUAAGGCUAAAUACUCUCUAGUGACCGAUAGUGAACCAGUACCGUGAGGGAAAGGUGAAAAGCACCCCGGAAGGGGAGUGAAAUAGAACCUGAAACCGUGUGCUUACAAGUAGUCAGAGCCCGUUAAUGGGUGAUGGCGUGCCUUUUGUAGAAUGAACCGGCGAGUUACGAUUUGAUGCAAGGUUAAGCAGUAAAUGUGGAGCCGUAGCGAAAGCGAGUCUGAAUAGGGCGUUUAGUAUUUGGUCGUAGACCCGAAACCAGGUGAUCUACCCUUGGUCAGGUUGAAGUUCAGGUAACACUGAAUGGAGGACCGAACCGACUUACGUUGAAAAGUGAGCGGAUGAACUGAGGGUAG